AGAGAUCAAAUUGAUAAACUCUAUUGAACAAGACCUCAUCUUCACACCUUGGGUUCACACUUGACACGCUAGAUUUCAUCUGGAGAUAUAAAAAAGAAAGCUUAGAACUAGAUUAAUAAUAAUAUUAAACCUGCUCCAUCAUCAAACCCUAAACCUCAAAACCCACAACCAAAAUUAUUCCUUUUUCAAGUUUCAAACCCUAGAUAGAUAGUCUUCUCUAACAGUCACACCAUACAUACCCUGAUCAGAAACAACUUAUAUACUUGUUUAACUCUUUCCUUUCCUUUUCUUCUUCUUUUCUCUUUCUGAUAUCUCUUGUGAUAGCUAGGUGUGGGUGGAUGUGAUCCAUGGAGGGGGGGCAUCAUCAUCAACAUCAACAACAACAACAACAGCAGCAGCACCAUAGUAUGACUAGUAUGGAACAAGGAGAUAGUAGGGUACCUCAAUGGAGUUUUCAAGAAACGAAGGAGUUUUUGGUUAUAAGAGCAGAGUUGGAUCAAACAUUCAUGGAGACAAAACGUAACAAGCUUCUCUGGGAAGUCAUUUCUAAUAAGAUGAAAGAAAAGGGUUAUCUUCGUAGCUCGGAUCAGUGCAAGUGCAAGUGGAAGAAUCUUGUUACCCGAUACAAGGGUUGUGAAACCAUUGAGCCAGAAAGUAUGCGGCAACAAUUCCCAUUUUAUAAUGAGCUCCAAACCAUCUUCUCAGCUAGGAUGCAGAGGAUGUUAUGGCUUGAAGCUGAAGGUGGACCGAUCAGUAGUGGUAUGAGAAAGAAAGGGUCUAGAUUAUCUUCGGAUGACGAUGAUGAUAAUGAAGAAAGUGAUGAAGAAAAAUUAGUUGUUAAAAAGAAAAUGAGAAAGGGAAAGGGGGCAAGUACAACCAGCACAUCCGCUGGUAAUGCAGAUAAUAGUAACUUGCAACAUAUUCUGGAGGAGUUCAUGAGACAACAAGUGCAAAUGGAAGCGCAAUGGAGAGAAACCGUUGAAUUUCGAGAAAAGGAGAGAAGGAUGAGGGAGAUGGAAUGGAGACAAAGAAUGGAAGAGUUAGAGAAAGAGAGGUUACUAAUGGAUAGAAAUUGGAGAGAGCGAGAAGAGCAAAGAAGGAUGAGAGAAGAAGCUAGAGCAGAGAAGAGGGAUGCACUCAUUACAGCUCUUCUAAACAAGCUAAGACGUGAAGAUAUGUAGGAACGCGCAUGUAUGUAUACUGAUGCUCAAGAUAUAUGCUAUAGCUCGCAAUGAUCGACGGACGGACUAAUUUAUAUAGUUUAUGUUGUUCCAAGAUAGAAGCUCUGGUCAGAGAGUUGAUUAUCCAUAGUUAAUCCGUCUUAGUCGUUGGAGGAACGGUGGUCGGUGGUACACAAUAUAUUAUGGAGCAUGAACUUGUGGACUCAACAGUAUUAUUGAUUGAAAACUGGAUAAUUUCUUCAUUCCAUAUCUUAAUUUGAUAACAAGUACUGUACUAUCGAGUAUUCUUUCUAUAUAAAAAGAAAAAGAAUGUUUUUCGAUUAA